rnacentral:rRNA from 1 species
UGGGGAAUAUUGCACAAUGGAGGGAACUCUGAUGCAGCGACGCCGCGUGAGUGAUGAAGGAAUUCGUUUCGUAAAACUCUGUUCUAUGGGAAGAAAAGGACUGUACCAUAGGAGAAAGCUCCGGCUAAAUACGUGCCAGCAGCCGCGGUAAUACGUAUGGAGCGAGCGUAGUCCGGAAUUAUUGGGCGUAAAGGGUGCGCAGGCGGCUUUACAAGUUGGAUGUGAAAUAUUGUGGCUCAACCACAAACGUGCAUCCAAAACUGCAAAGCUUGAGUUAAGGGGAGGUAAGUGGAAUUCCUGGUGUAGCGGUGGAAUGCGUAGAUAUCAGGAGGAAUACCGGUGGCGAAGGCGACUUACUGGACUUAAACUGACGCUCAGGCACGAAAGCGUGGGGAGCAAACAGG